UUUCCUAUAGCUUAAAAUUGGCAGCUUGUGAAAUCGGCUGCAAAAUUUGUGCAUAUAAGUGCUAUGGUUUAGUCAUAGCCUGACUCAUAGUAGACUGGUGUGAGAAUUUUCCUAUUUAGAUACUGGAAGUCCCCUGAUUCACUCCUUAAUUUUAUAAGUCCAGACUUACCUUCCGUCGAGCUGUCUGUUGUUGGUCACCCUGAAGUCGAAGACUGAACUCCUCUCACGGGGCACCAAUUGCCUCAUCCAGCGCAGGAAGGACGAUUUGAUGCGAGAAUUCUGUGAUGCUUCUGCACUCCUUUAUUACAAUAUCCAUAGCCACUGCAAAGGGAUGGGGCUGGCCAGAAGGACUCCAGCACAGCUAGGAACUAUCCUUCUUUCCAGAGAUGUUCUGCACGGCUCCCUGAGGACAUGUGGCCACUCUCCAGGACAGCAGUGCUUUGUGGUGAGUCUGUGCUGCUGGUGUGCAUUAGCACCUCCCCUCCAAGUGGGAAAUGAUGGCUCUGCUGAGUGCGUGCGGGAAGAGAGCUUACUUUUGUCCCCAGCCUCGUGUUAACAACAGCAGCAAAAGUGAGGUGAGAAAGCAACAAGAAAACGUGCAUAUAUACAGAGAACAGGCUUCAGCUGUAUUGGAUGCCAUUGUGCUUUGUGCUGUUUAAAACUGGUUUGCAAAUGCUUGGGAAGGUAGGAGCUUUUCCCCACAGCCCCUCAUCUUGCUUCCUUCUCCAGACCUGAUUUUCACAGCACUCUGUUCACUGCCAUUUAACAACAGAUCUGUGUGUCGUUUGGGAAGGGCCGGUUUUGAAAUGUUCCAAGUUGUCAGUGCCCUUUAAAUACAGCUCUGACCAAUGCUUUGCUGCCGGACUAAAUGGCUGCCGGGGCUGCUGCAGGCUCCCAGCCCCGGCGAAGUCCGGGCGCAGCUCAGCGGCUCUGCCUGCGGGACCAGAGAUGGGAGAGCGAGGGGAGACCAAGCUCGCCAUCUCCUGGGGAAGAAGGGGCACACACGCGGCCGGGAAAGUUCUGUUUCGCUCCUUCCUUUCAUUCCCUCUUCUCUUUGUGAAAUGCUGAGACUGUAGGAGGAUGCGCUUCUCAAAUGUUUAAAAUGGCAAGCACGGGUUUAGCGACUGCUCGGUGGAGCACAGGUAGACUGCAAAAACUACAGCAGAUGAUCUGGUUAAACCUUAGUUUUCAGUUAUAUGUUGCUUCAAAAACUAAAGCCUACCAUGAGUUUCUGCAUAUCUGUAUAUUUUUGAGUGUAACUUGAGAAGUUGAUGGAAUAAAUUGUGUAUGCUUGUCCUUCA
rnacentral:lncRNA from 1 species